UUAAUUUUAUUUUUUUAAUCUUGAAAAUAAUUUUGAUAAUUUUAUGAAGCUUUUAGACAUUUCAUUUCAAUAAAUUUAUCAAAAUAUUUUCAAAAAGAAGAGAGACAAAAAAGAUUCAUAAAUAUUUAGAUCAAAAAAGAAGAAGAAGUUGGUUUGUUUUCUCGAGAAAAUGGAGUCAAAUUCUUGGAGCUUUCGUUUCUCCAAUUCUUCUUCUUCUUCUUCUUCUUCUUCUUCUUCUUCUUCUU
rnacentral:lncRNA from 1 species